UGCCCCACGGCCGGCUCCUCCCGAGGGGGCGGGUGCGGGUGCGGUGUCGGUGUCGUCUCCUUCCCACUCCAUUUUCCAUCCAAGCCUUUCAGACACAGCAGGGAAAAGCUGGGGGUCGGUCACCGCCGGCCUUGUGAGCCCCCCGGCCGGGGGCUGCUCCUCUCCUGCGUAGUGGCCCGACCGCCACGUCCAGCAGCACCCACCGCCGCCCCAUCCGCCGCCAGCGGUUUGCAGAGGAAACCCCGGCUGCCAGGCCAGUCCCCGUUAGGUUUGGGGAGGGCCGCUCCUGCCACACAGCACGGGGGUCUCCUAGCUGGGGUGCAGCUUCUGCAGAUCUUCAUGAAUUACACUCUGAAAACAACAGCUGAUUGCGAAUUACCACGGGAGGGCAUAUCAGCACUGUGCACGACACACAGCAUUGCUUUUACCUGAAACACCAAUAAGGUGGAUCAGAUUCUGCCCCCUGUGACAGGCAGAGAUAUUAAAGGAGGCUCAGAGGAGGUCCUGUGCUCACUUGAACAUUGUGGCAAGCUGCGGACACAAUUGCUGAGAAUUCUCUCUUACAAAGGAACUGGGAUGGCCCAACUGUAACCGCAUCUCAGCUGCCAUCGCUAAGCUCACAGUCAGCUUUGUGAUAGUUUUCUUCCCUUCCCCAGCUUCCCCCUGCUUUUUUGUUCACUGAAUGCCUUGUGCCUGCUUGAUUCUCAGUGCAGUAGAAACUUUCAAAUAUCUAGUGCUUAAGGUGCAAUAGAUGCUUAUUUGAUUACUAAGUGAGCUUCAUUUUCCCCUUAGUUUUCUAGCUUUUGCCAAUACAGCAUCAUGAACUUUAUAUUUCUUAAGA